rnacentral:tRNA from 3 species
GGUGAGAUGGCCGAGUUGGUUAUGGCGCCAGGUUAAGGUUACCUUAACACUAAUUCCUGGUCACGAAAGUGGCGUGGGUUCGAGUCCCACUCUCAUCA